GAUGAAGAACGUAGCGAAAUGUGAUAAGUAAUGUGAAUUGCAGAAUUCAGUGAAUCAUCGAAUCUUUGAACGCACCUUGCACCCUUUGGCAUUCCGAAGGGUAUGCUCGUUUGAGUGUCAUUGUACUCUCACACUUCCGAUCUUUGGAUUGGGAGCGGUGGACUUGGGUGUUGCUGCUUACUGUGGCUCACCUCAAAUCGAUUCGUGCACCUCUUGGUUGGACAUAGUACGGCGUGAUAAGUGUCUUCGCCGGCACCUCAGUAGAGGGUGGCUGAUCGGGAGCUCUGUGCUUCAAACCGUCCUCGGACAACAACUGACAACUUGACCUCAAAUCGAGUAGGACUACCCGCUGAACUUAAGCAUAUCAAUAAGCGGAGGA
rnacentral:misc_RNA from 1 species